CGUGCCAGCAGCCGCGGUAAUACGUAGGUGGCAAGCGUUAUCCGGAAUUAUUGGGCGUAAAGCGCGCGUAGGCGGUUUUUUAAGUCUGAUGUGAAAGCCCACGGCUCAACCGUGGAGGGUCAUUGGAAACUGGAAAACUUGAGUGCAGAAGAGGAAAGUGGAAUUCCAUGUGUAGCGGUGAAAUGCGCAGAGAUAUGGAGGAACACCAGUGGCGAAGGCGACUUUCUGGUCUGUAACUGACGCUGAUGUGCGAAAGCGUGG
rnacentral:rRNA from 1 species